rnacentral:lncRNA from 1 species
UUUGGCUUUCUUAUAAGGGCGUUGAAGAGCCGUAAAGCACGAUCUUGACACUAUGGGGCUGUUCAUUCCAUCUUCUGAAGAUGACCAAAAGGCGAAGUUAUAUCUCGAAACCUUUACACAAUUCAAAGAAAGGGAGAUGUACGGCAAAGCACGGGUCGGAGCAGUUGUAGGCGGAACAUAUCUAACAAUCAGAGUGGAUACAACCUGGUUACCUGGUUAAGAAACAAGGCUUGAAGAGAUAAGAGGAUGGAGAAAGUCAGGUGGACCGAAAUAGGUGAAAGAUCCAUCAUUUAUGGAGUAGAUGUAUAAUCGAUGGUCCUCAAUUGAUUUUUUGAAGUACAAAUCUUUGCUUGACAACUACUGCACCAGAACAACUCACGUUUGAUCUACAAUUGUUAUCUUACUCUCCUAUUGUUAAUGAGAAUUAUCAACCUUGUAUUUUGUUAGGUGAGGGGACUUGGUUCCUUGCUGUUAGAUGUAGCCAUGUAGGUGGAUUUGAACAAAGGUAUUAUAACUCAUGUUAAUACUAAAUUGUUAAUUACCACUUCUUUUAAGCC